CACCUGCAGCACAUGGAGGUUCCCAGGCCAGGGGUCUAAUCAGAGCUGAAGCUGCCAGCCCACACAGGCACAGUAAUGCUGGAUCCCAGCCACAUCUGCAACCUACACCACAGCUCAUGGUGAGGCCGGAUCCUUAACCCACUGAGGAAGACCAGGGAUUGAACCUGCAUCCUCACGGAUACUAGUUGGGUUCGUUAACUGCUGAGCCACAAUGGGAACUCCAUCACUGGACAAUUUCAUCCAUUCCUACAUACGGCCCAAAUGCUGCUACCAUACCCCAAAGGAUUAUGCAGACAAUAUCGAAAAACCUUUUAUGCUGCAACACUUACAGAAGGAGAUACAGACUACCUCUUCAAAAAAAACCAAAACCAAAACCAAACCAAACACCCACGGAACAGGCAAGCAAAGUAUACUUAUGGUUUCAUUUUUUAAUGUAUCUUAAUGUAUCUAGUAUGGGAAAUGCAUGGGAAAUCCCUUCUUUGGCAUUUCCAGAUAUCAGCUGCUGAGAAGAUGCAAUGAGCACAUAUUCACGUGAUUUCACUCUUCUACGCUUAAAUAUGACUUUAAAAUGUAAUGUUAAAACUUAUCUUGGAGUUCCCGUUGUGGUUCAGCAGAAACGAAUCUGAGUAGGAACCAUAUUGCAGGGUCAGUGAGUUGGGGAUCCGGCGUUGCCUUGAGCUGUGGUGUGGGUUGCAGAUACAGCUCAGAUCUGGCAUUGCUGUGGCUCUGGCAUAAGCCAACGGCUACAGCUCCAAUGUGACCCCUGGCCUAGGAACUUCCAUGUGCUGCAGGUGUGGCCCUAAAAAGCAAAAAAAAAAAAAAAAGAAGAAGAAGAAAGAAAAAAAAAACUUAUCUCUACCUAUCAUUAAAAGUGUAAAAAAGUGAAAUGACUCACUUAAAACUAAAGCAAGGCCCACCAAAUAUUCUCUUAAGCAGUUCUAAGCAGAAAAGCUGUCAAUUCCUAUCAUCUGGCAAUACUUAAGGCACAUGAUGAGACUAACAUAGGCCUGUGUGAUCAUGCCUGCUAAAUCACACACAAGAGCAAACUAAACUGACAGUCAGAGGAGGAGCCUCAGGCUCCCUGGAAAGAAGUUACAAUGAGGUUUUCUAAAGAUGCUUUUGUUUUACCUUUGGCUUAUUUAGGUGGGGCGGGGGUGGGGUAUGGACAAACCAUGUCCAAUACCUUUAUUAGUUAAGCCAACUGAAAAGAGAUGUACACAGAGGGGCCCGUGUUAAAGCACUCCGACACUGUACUCCAAGGACACAGAAGUCUAUCCAUUCCUGUCUCUAAAUGUAGGACUCUUGCCAGACAGAAAUCAACACAAAUAAGUAUAGAUGUAUACAGGUUAGAUAAAUAAAUUACAUAAAUACAUAUGUAGGCUUUUUACAUGCUGUGUUUUAUACACAAAAAAUUUAUUUAUAUAAAAUCAGAGCCAAAACUGAAAUAUUACUCAGCUAUAAAGUGGAAUGAAGAGUUCCCGUCAUGGCUCAGUGGAAAUGAAUCUGACUAGUAUCCAUGAGGACACAGGUUCGAUCCCUGGCCUUCCUCAGUGGGUUGAGGAUCUGGCUUGCCAUGAGCUAUAAUGUACAUCUCAGACGUUGUGGCAUUGCUGUGGCUGUGGUGCAGGCCAGUGGCUACAGCUCCAAUUCCACCCCAGCCCGGGAACCUCCAUAUGCUGUGGGUAAAGCCCUAAAAAGACAAAAAU
rnacentral:lncRNA from 1 species